UCGAGGAUCUUUGGCAAUGGGCGCAAGCCUGACCAAGCGACGCCGCGUGUGCGAUGAAGGCCUUCGGGUUGUAAAGCACUGUCGAGGGGGAUAAAGCCCGCAAGGGUUGAUUGAUCCCUGGAGGAAGCACGGGCUAAGUUCGUGCCAGCAGCCGCGGUAAGACGAACCGUGCGAACGUUGUUCGGAAUCACUGGGCUUAAAGGGCGCGUAGGCGGCAGACCAAGUCCGGGGUGAAAGCCCCCAGCUCAACUGGGGAAGUGCCUUGGAUACUGGCUUGCUAGAGGGAGGUAGGGGUCGAGGGAACUUCUGGUGGAGCGGUGAAAUGCGUUGAUAUCAGAAGGAACGCCGGUGGCGAAAGCGCUCGACUGGACCUUUACUGACGCUGAGGCGCGAAAGCUAGGGGAGCAAACGGGAUUAGAUACCCCCGUAGUCC
rnacentral:rRNA from 1 species